rnacentral:rRNA from 1 species
UACGAAGGGGGCUAGCGUUGUCCGGAAUUAUUGGGCGUAAAGAGCUCGUAGGCGGUCUGUCGCGUCUGCUGUGAAAACUCGGGGCUUAACCCCGGGCCUGCAGCGGGUACGGGCAGACUAGAGUGCGGUAGGGGAGACUGGAAUUCCUGGUGUAGCGGUGAAAUGCGCAGAUAUCAGGAGGAACACCGGUGGCGAAGGCGGGUCUCUGGGCCGUAACUGACGCUGAGGAGCGAAAGCGUGGGGAGCGAACAGG